UACGAAGGGCGCAAGCGUUGUUCAGAUUUACUGGGCGUAAAGGGCGCGUAGGCGGGCGACCAUGUCAGAGGUGAAAGCCCCGGGCUCACCCUGGGAAUUGCCUUUGAAACGGGUUGUCUUGAGGACGGGAGAGGAUGGUGGAAUACCCAGUGUAGAGGUGAAAUUCGUAGAUAUUGGGUGGAACACCGGUGGCGAAGGCGACCAUCUGGACCGUAACUGACGCUGAGGCGCGAAAGCGUGGGGAGCAAACAGG
rnacentral:rRNA from 1 species